GACGAACGCUGGCGGCGUGCCUAAUGCAUGCAAGUCGAGCGAUGAUUAAAGAUAGCUUGCUCUUUUUAUGAAGAGCGGCGAACGGGUGAGUAACGCGUGGGAAAUCUGCCGAGUAGCGGGGGACAACGUUUGGAAACGAACGCUAAUACCGCAUAACAAUGAGAAUCGCAUGAUUCUUAUUUGAAAGAAGCAAUUGCUUCACUACUUGAUGAUCCCGCGUUGUAUUAGCUAGUUGGUAGUGUAAAGGACUACCAAGGCGAUGAUACAUAGCCGACCUGAGAGGGUGAUCGGCCACACUGGGACUGAGACACGGCCCGGACUCCUACGGGAGGCAGCAGUAGGGAAUCUUCGGCAAUGGGGGCAACCCUGACCGAGCAACGCCGCGUGAGUGAAGAAGGUUUUCGGAUCGUAAAACUCUGUUGUUAGAGAAGAACGUUAAGUAGAGUGGAAAAUUACUUAAGUGACGGUAUCUAACCAGAAAGGGACGGCUAACUACGUGCCAGCAGCCGCAGUAA
rnacentral:rRNA from 1 species